GAAUAUGGAUGUAUCCUGUGGAUCCCUCAGAGAAGACAGGCAAGAGUCCACCACCAAGGCACCUCUAUGGAGGUCUCCUUCUUGGCCACGCAGCCAGGACUGAUCUCUAUGUAAUGGUGACAUUCAUUGUGAUGCUAGCCAGAGCUCAUAGUCAGGCCUGGUGCCCUGAGGCGUGCAUGUGCAUUUGAGGGCAUGCUUGCUGGCCUGGCUUUCACAGAUGUUAGCCUGUGGAAGCAGAAGAAAAUGGUACACAUAGAGCUGGCUCGGUAUCCAGAAAUAGGCUGCCUGCAAUAAUGCACUGCGGGACCCUACAAUGCUCGAAGUUAGGGCGACUUCAAGCCGUCUCCCUGGUCAGCUCCUGCAGGAGUAGGAGGCAUUCAGAGACUGAGGUGGUCGCUGAAAUCUGUUCUUCUGAUUCCCUUUUGGAAAGAGGCUGUGUGCAAGAAUCCAGUCCCAUGGGGAUUGGAAUGUAGUCUGGCACCCUUCAGAUCCUUUUGGAACCUUACGGAUUUCGCGGUUUAUUCCUGGGGUUUGCUUGACGUAUCUUCCAGCUGGCUCUUGUCUGCUCUCCCCUAGGAUCGUGGGACUAUCCUGUGGAUCCCACAGAGAAGAGAGAGGACAGUCCACCACUGAUGCACCUCCACAGAGGUCUCCUUCUCCGCCAAACCUCACGGAAUUGUGACAUUCAUGGCGAAUGUGCGGGACCCCAUCCAUCCCUCACCAGCUUGUAUCCUCAGCUUUAUCUGAAGUUAAAAGUAUCUUUCCCAUAAUGAAAUCCAAAGAUGAUGGAAGAGUGCCCCCUCACGGUGUGGAGGUCCUGCUUGGCUAGCAACUGAAUAUGAAGUAAAUUCAAGGGACCCUGCGGACCGGACUGCUAGUGUUUCUAAAUGGGGUGUACACUGGACAAUAAAACACUGAAAGAUUUCUGUUCCUG
rnacentral:lncRNA from 1 species